UACAGAGGUCUCAAGCGUUGUUCGGAUUCAUUGGGCGUAAAGGGUGCGUAGGCGGCGCGGUAAGUCGGGUGUGAAAUCUCGGAGCUUAACUCCGAAACUGCAUUCGAUACUGCCGUGCUUGAGGACUGGAGAGGAGACUGGAAUUUACGGUGUAGCGGUGAAAUGCGUAGAGAUCGUAAGGAAGACCAGUGGCGAAGGCG
rnacentral:rRNA from 1 species